UACGGAGGGUGCGAGCGUUGUUCGGAAUUACUGGGCGUAAAGGGCGCGUAGGCGGCCUGCUAAGUCGAACGUGAAAUCCCCGGGCUCAACCCGGGAACUGCGUCCGAUACUGGUUGGCUUGAAUCCGGGAGAGGGAUGCGGAAUUCCAGGUGUAGCGGUGAAAUGCGUAGAUAUCUGGAGGAACACCGGUGGCGAAGGCGGCAUCCUGGACCGGCAUUGACGCUGAGGCGCGAAAGCCAGGGGAGCAAACGGG
rnacentral:rRNA from 1 species